CAAGAUCAAACUUUCUUCCUGAUUUCCUGCAUUGGUUGAAAGAAGAAAACACGCUUAUGUUUAGAAAUAGAGUCCUGGCACUGUGGAAGAAAGAACGCACAAGAAUUACUAGGUCAAGCUCAGAUCCUGUCUGCUCAUUCCUUCCUUCAUUCAUUCCGAACUCAGCCUUUGGAGAGAGAGCCAUAUCAAUAAACAUGCAAAAUAUACAAGAUGAAGUGUGUGCUGUCCCGCGGUUACUUCCUGAGUCAGAGGAAGAGAAAACACCACGUUCUCUCUGGAGGAAUCACGGAAGACCUUCCACCCUUAACGGGAGGCAUUUGAGAAGAUAGAGGAACGUGUUAAAUGACACCAGCAAGUUCACAGGCGAGUACAGAGUAUAAGACGUUCUGCAAGACAACUAACCCAGAUUCUGUAGGAAAGAAAAAAAGAAGGUACACGACUCUGGGUUACAGGAGACCUAAAAGGUGUAAUAAUCAAAUGUGCUGUGCGACCUCGCCUGAACGCUAACAAGAAUUUUUUUCAACAUUGUUGGGCAAAAAUGAUUAUGAGCUUGGGAUUGGGUGACACGAGAAAAGUGACUGUAAAUUUUGUGGGGAGCGAUAAUGACACUGGGUCUUUUGGAAAAUAUCCUUAUCUUUAGAGAGGUAGAAGAAACAU